UAACUCUUUGACAAACUUUUUUUCUAGAACAAUCAGUUAUUUUCAUACUGAAAUUUUACAUUAACAAGCUUUGUCUGUCUUAUUCGUGUAACCUUAAAUUUUUUAGAAAACUGGAACUAAAUCUCCCUAUGGUAGAGUAAAGAACCUAUAACAUGACAACAUGUAACACAAUAAGCAUUCCUCUUUUGAUGCUCACUCUACUCAUAUGCAAAGUAAGUGCGUCCUUUAUCCUCAGCGCACUCCCUUAGAAACAAUAAAAUCCCCUUCUUUUUCCAUAUAACUCACCCCUUUAUCUCUCAACAAAGGAUCAUGACAUUUCAGAAUCGUAAACCAACAGAGCUCAAAACAACAGAGCUCAAAACCCUAAAUAACAGAGCUCAAAAUCCUAAAAUACUAAACCAAAAAAAUGAAAAAAAAUCAGAAUCAUUCAUAGUAAAAAAGAAUGAAUGAAAACCCUAAUUGCAGCAACUAGGAAAUUCAACUAUGGAGAUAAAAGCAUCAAUAGAAAGGGAAAUGGAAAAGGAAUUGAACACUUACAAAUUAAUUGUUCAAUUGAUGCGAGUUAGGGUACAAACUAAUCGUUUAUUAUGACAUUUGUG
rnacentral:lncRNA from 1 species